GUGGCACAUAUACUAAAAUUGGAUAGAUACAGAGAAGAUUAGCAUGGCCCCUGCGAAAGGAUGACACGCAAAUCUGUGAAGCGCUCCAUCUUUUU
ensembl:snRNA U6 U6 spliceosomal RNA